UCGUCGAUAACUCAGUUGGUAGAGCGGAAGACUGUAGGUAUCCUUAGCUCGCUGUUUCAAAUCCUGCUCGACGGA
rnacentral:tRNA from 16 species